rnacentral:lncRNA from 1 species
ACAUAAAACGAAGAAAUAAGCAAUGCCUCAAUAACUUAAUGAUUCACAACACUUACUAGGAUUACAAAAACCCUUCGCUUGAAGAAAAUGAAGGUUUGACACACAGGGUAAGGAUGUCCACGACAGAAAAUUCCACAAACCCUGAUUGAAGAAAACAAAGAAAUUGAUACUAGAAACAUAAUCUAUAUUAUUUAUUUAUUCAUUUAUUUUUGAAAAUUAAAAAUACAAUACAAAAAGAAGACUCACUUGCUUGUAAGAGCCACCAUUGCCAGGGAUAAAAAGAACCGGAACACCUGACAACUUGACAAGAUGAAGCUGAUAAUCAAUUCUUUUCCAGCCUUCGUGAUAAAGAUACAAGGAAUAUUUGCCGGCCGUGGCGUUGGAAGGAAGAGGAACAGGAAUGUACAUAGGGUACAUGUA